ACAAAUCUCCAACUUCGUGAAGUGGUAGAUGAAAUCGUCAUAUGACAUCCUGAGAGGUUGGAAAAAAGAGAGAUCCAUAUGGGAGGCCGGGAAAGGUGAAGACUCCAGGGCUAACACGGCACAAUAAAACAGGAGCUUGGUGUUUCUAAAGGCCAGAUGGUUUUACACACUCUCUCUCCUCCAGAGGGAGAAAAUAAAGCACAUUUGUGUUCCAGAUACACUGAGGAGAAUGAAACUAAGCUGGAUGUCCUUGGAAAGGAAAUGUUGGGAAAAUUGCCAUCUUCAGCACUAAAAACAAAGAUAAACUGAGCACCGUCUUAUGGCAAGAUCUACUUCUACCAGUCCCAAGUGGAUCCCCUGAUUGGAGGCAAGCUCUGCAGAUCUGAAGCGGCACAGAAAGUGAAUUGCUGACUUCAGGAGGUUAACCUAAGUGCCCUCAAGCCCCG